rnacentral:rRNA from 1 species
UACGUAGGGUGCGAGCGUUGUCCGGAAUUACUGGGUGUAAAGGGUUCGUAGGCGGUGCGGCAAGUUGGGAGUGAAAUCUCUGGGCUUAACCCAGAGGCUGCUUCCAAAACUGCUGUGCUUGAGUGUGGGAGAGGCGCGUGGAAUUGCAGGUGUAGCGGUGAAAUGCGUAGAUAUCUGCAGGAACACCCGUGGCGAAAGCGGCGCGCUGGACCACUACUGACGCUGAGGAACGAAAGCUAGGGGAGCAAACAGG